CGUACACUCCUACGGGAGGCAGCAGUGGGGAAUUUUGGACAAUGGGCGCAAGCCUGAUCCAGCCAUGCCGCGUGAGUGAUGAAGGCCCUAGGGUUGUAAAGCUCUUUCACCGGUGAAGAUAAUGACGGUAACCGGAGAAGAAGCCCCGGCUAACUUCGUGCCAGCAGCCGCGGUAAUACGAAGGGGGCUAGCGUUGUUCGGAUUUACUGGGCGUAAAGCGCACGUAGGCGGACUAUUAAGUCAGGGGUGAAAUCCCGGGGCUCAACCCCGGAACUGCCUUUGAUACUGGUAGUCUUGAGUUCGAGAGAGGUGAGUGGAAUUCCGAGUGUAGAGGUGAAAUUCGUAGAUAUUCGGAGGAACACCAGUGGCGAAGGCGGCUCACUGGCUCGAUACUGACGCUGAGGUGCGAAAGCGUGGGGAGCAAACAGGAUUAGAUACCCGAGUAGUCCCA
rnacentral:rRNA from 1 species